ACCUGUACUAUAUUUAUUUGUUUUUGUUUUAUUAGCCAUUUGCUUUACUCUUAAAACAGGUUGAAUUGAAGUAGAUCCAUGCAUUCAUGUGAAUUUUUCUAAAUUGCCCACGAGUUGAGAGAUUCAACCCAAGCUACAGGGUUUUUUUUUUUUUUUUGCAUGCAUAGUGCCUACUUAAUGCUCAUUAUUAGUAUUAAAUUGAGAGGGAAAAGUCCCAAUUCUCCAACUAAAACUCCACGGCUACCAACACUCGCACAAAAAGUGGUAUUCCAUUCCUUUUGUAUUUUCUCCUCUCCCUGUCUAUGGUGUUGCAAACGAAGACCCACCUGCUACCAUCUACAAGAAAAUCGUUACCGAUUUGAUGGGGAUAGCACUCUGAAGACUUCUCCCCUGGAAUUAAAGCAUGGAAAAGAUUUACCGUACUGCACCCACAAACAGCUUGUGUACUUGCCCUGAGUAUUGUGCCGCUGUUUUCUCCCAGAAGAUGAAGCUGUAGGGAUACGGCUCAAACCUACUGUUAAGGACUGAAGAAAAGAGUCAAGAGAUGAAUGAGGAUUUGUCCCAUUUCUUGCCAGCUUAUGUACUUACCCUGAGGCGUAAUGGUCCACUGCUUCCUGCCAGAAUUUGAUGCUGGAAGAUCCGAGAUACGGCUUGGUCUUUCUGAUGAAAUCGAACAAAGACAAGAGUCAAAGUAAUCCUAGAAGACUUGCCUGUAGGUAAAAUAAAUAUCUCCAACUUGUACGGUUUAGGAGAUAUUCACCUCGCAUGCAGCGGCUGACGUCGGCAGCACAUGAAGGUCCGGCGUACACUGCCAGAAAAUCUGCGCUCUUUGCCGGACUCGUGCGUAAGACAUCAUCGUGGCUCUGGCCACUCACAGCACCGGAGCCAGUGACCCCGGAAGAGACGGCAAGGCAACGUGUCAGCACUGACCGCGUCGGGCUGCUGGGGCCUCGU